GCCCGGAUGGUCUAGUGGUAUGAUUCUCGCUUGUAAGUUUAUCUUGUCAAACAGACCAAAUCACAUCAUAGAUAUUAAUUGUUAUGCAGCGGGCUGGCUAAACAGUACCAAUUUGCGAGAGGUCCCGCGUUCGAAUCGCGGUUCGGGCC